GGGGCGGCCAUGUUGCCAGGAACCUGUCGGGCAAGGGCAAGAAGGCUGCAGGAAUCCCGUGUUGGGUGGACCCAGUUUCUAAUGGUCUGCAUUUGCAUAUCAAAGGUUGCCGGCCUGGCUUAAGAGCCGGGGCUUUACUGGAAACUUUUCUGGAGAGGCUUUAAAAAACGAAAACUUCCAAGGACCCGUUUUCCUCUCUGUUUGCUAAAAUAAUUUCUUAAUAACUCCUACAACACUAAUAGAGGUUUGUUGGAGAGAAGGACAUCAAAGACCCCCGAAGGGACUCACCACAAGAGAAGGGGAAGUCUUGACGGGUGAUUAGAGUCUAAUACCAAGCCCUACGUUGUGGAUGGAUGAAAUUUCUGAAACAGUGCAUGUGGUCCAGGCUGGAGAUCUUUUCUAAUUGAAGGAAAAAAUACUCAUGGAUCUCCUGCUGCUGCUUCAAGAAGGCUAUGGGCAGAUUCUGUUUGAAGGAGUAUAUAGCAUGACUUUUUUCAGUCCCAGUCAUGUAAGUGCUGCCAUAUUCCUGACAGGAAAGAAGAGGUGCCAGCAGAAUCACUGGGAGUUCUCCUUCUUACAAAGCAGCAGGAGCUGCCUGGAAGGUUCCCAAUCACUUUCUCUUGACCAGAUCUCCUUGUCUCCAUUUAUGCUAAUUUCUCACAUUCUUGGAUGCUGCUUCCAGACCAUAUUCCUAAAAUAUGAAUCAAUAAUAUUCCUCCUCUGCUCAAAAACCUACCAUGGCCUCUUAUUGCUGAUUGCUUAAAGUCUAUCCUUCCAGCAUGCAACCAGAGAAUAAAUUCAUUAGGAAAUGUAGCCCCAUUCUCUUGGUAAUACUUAUUUUCCUCUUUUCUAUACCUUGAACCCUCUGCUUUUGUCUUGUUUGGUACCAGUGUUCUACUUUUGUUGGUGGCGUGUUCUCUCCUUGAACUGCCUUUUCUUCUCCCUUUUGCCUACUCAAAUCUCUGCCUUUCCUCCAGCCCUCAUCCAUCCCUGAGGCCUUCUCUAUCUUCCUAUCAUUCAGAUAAAAAGGCCUUUUCUGCAAGAAAGGAACAAAGCCAUACAAAGGCAGAAGGGGAUUUAGGGGUGGGAAAGUUUACCCCUCACCUUUAAUUCCAUGUCGUCUAAAUAUAUAAUUGCCACAUUUCAUUCCAUUUUAACUCCACCUAGUAGAUGUUCCGUGGCAUCUUAUUUUUAAUUCUUUCAUUUAUUUUUUGAAACAGAAAGUUACCACUUUCUUCCAAAGUUGUCAGUCCUCCUCUGUGUUCUGUCUCUUUGAUGCUACCUUAUACUCAGGAUGCACAAACCUGAAAUUCCAAACAUCGUCCUUCAGAAUUCUUUUCUCUCCUUUGCUGCACAUCUGGUCUUCAAGAACUAUAGUUUCUAAUGUUAACAUCUUCUCCUCCUCUUCACUGUUGCUCCCUUAGUUGAACCUUCACCGUUUCCCUGAAGAUUUUCUGUAGCAGUCUCCCAAUAGAUCCCAUAUGCUUAAUUCAUUUUCCACGUUUGUCUUUGUUCUGAAGGGAAAAUAUGAUCAUUUAAGGAAAAAAUUCCGGAGUGGCACUCCAUUGCUUUUAGUGUACAAUUGAAAUUUUGUAGUUGAACUGCCACGUUUUCUCUGAUCUGUCUUGCUUCUUUCCUCGCAUCCUUUCUUCCUCUUACUGUCAGUCUUAUCCUUCCCCACCACUUGACCCUGAACAUGACAAGGUCCUUUAUGACCCACAUCACUCUCUCUACCUGCAAUGUGUUACCCCAUCUUUUCUCCUCAUCCCCUAUUCAAUCACCAAAAUUCCUUAAAAGAAUCAUCACAACUGAGGAAGUUUCCAGAACAUCCAGAUCUAGGUAACAUUCUAUUUCUCUGUGUGUACUUAAUCCUAUCACAGCACUUAAUCGUCACUUUUAAUGUUGGUCUGCCCAAAUAAAGUCUGAACAUUGUGAAGGCAGAGCACCUAGCAUCUAGCACAAGACCUGGCGAAAAUGAAGUCCUCGUAAAUAAUUAUGAAUGCAUGAAUAAAUAGCAUGUAAUCCAAAG
rnacentral:lncRNA from 10 species